rnacentral:rRNA from 1 species
AACGAACGCUGGCGGCAUGCCUAUCACAUGCAAGUUGAACGAGAUCUUCGGGUCUAGUGGCGCACGGGUGCGUAACGCGUGGGAAUCUGCCCUUUGGUUCGGAAUAACAGUUGGAAACGACUGCUAAUACCGGUUGAUGACGAAAGUCCAAAGAUUUAUCGCCAGAGGAUGAGCCCGCGUAGGAUUAGCUAGUUGGUGUGGUAAAGGCGCACCAAGGCGACGAUCCUUAGCUGGUCUGAGAGGAUGAUCAGCCACACUGGGACUGAGACACGGCCCAGACUCCUACGGGAGGCAGCAGUGGGGAAUAUUGGACAAUGGGCGAAAGCCUGAUCCAGCAAUGCCGCGUGAGUGAUGAAGGCCUUAGGGUUGUAAAGCUCUUUUACCCGGGAUGAUAAUGACAGUACCGGGAGAAUAAGCUCCGGCUAACUCCGUGCCAGCAGCCGCCGCCG